rnacentral:rRNA from 1 species
UACGUAGGGUGCAAGCGUUGUCCGGAAUUAUUGGGCGUAAAGAGCUCGUAGGCGGUCUGUCGCGUCGAAUGUGAAAACCCGGGGCUCAACCCCGGGCCUGCAUUCGAUACGGGCAGACUAGAGUUCGGUAGGGGAGUCUGGAAUUCCUGGUGUAGCGGUGAAAUGCGCAGAUAUCAGGAGGAACACCAAUAGCGAAGGCAGCUCGCUGGGACGUUACUGACACUGAGGCGCGAAAGCGUGGGGAGCGAACAGG